rnacentral:tRNA from 1 species
GCGAACGUGGCGUAACUGGUAGCCGCAGCAGACUUAGGAUCUGCCGCCUAACGGCGUGGGGGUUCGAGUCCCCCCGUUCGCA